rnacentral:rRNA from 1 species
AUUGAACGCUGGCGGCAGGCCUAACACAUGCAAGUCGAGCGGAUGAAGGGAGCUUGCUCCUGGAUUCAGCGGCGGACGGGUGAGUAAUGCCUAGGAAUCUGCCUGGUAGUGGGGGAUAACGUCCGGAGACGGGCGCUAAUACCGCAUACGUCCUGAGGGAGAAAGUGGGGGAUCUUCGGACCUCACGCUAUCAGAUGAGCCUAGGUCGGAUUAGCUAGUUGGUGGGGUAAAGGCCUACCAAGGCGACGAUCCGUAACUGGUCUGAGAGGAUGAUCAGUCACACUGGAACUGAGACACGGUCCAGACUCCUACGGGAGGCAGCAGUGGGGAAUAUUGGACAAUGGGCGAAAGCCUGAUCCAGCCAUGCCGCGUGUGUGAAGAAGGUCUUCGGAUUGUAAAGCACCUUAAGUUGGGAGGAAGGGCAGUAAGUUAAUACCUUGCUGUUUUGACGUUACCAACAGAAUAAGCACCGGCUAACUUCGUG